ensembl:lncRNA
GGGGAGGAGGGUUGGGCUUGAGUGUGUUCGAGCGCAAGCCACAGAGAGUGAUGCAUUUUGACAGCUGUGUGUGUGUGUUCGGCAAGUCUGCAGAUCUGGUUGGGUGAGACUGGGCUAUAUAAUAGGGUGGAGCAUAAAGCCGAAGCUUUCUCCGUAGUUCCAGUCACACUGUUGGGUACCCAAACUACCAGGUGCUCUUCGGUUGUCUGGGUGCUAGAUGGUUGGAAUUCAGACUGGCCAGUUGGAGUAGCAGCUACAGGAUCUUUAACACAGAGCCUGUGGAAGGUGUGGAGGAUCCAACAGUUUUUUUUUUUGGUGUUUUUUUACUACUGCAUUCCGGACCGCUUUUUGCCCAGGAGCAAGUCGGAAACCCGAAAUUUCUAGUAAUUUUUUGUUGUUGUUGGUGCAUUCCUCCUUUUUUUGCCUGAACAAAAGGGUGUAAUCACAACCAGGUUGGCAGAUGUAUACCUCACAUGUUUCUACCUUCCCUGCACACUGCCAGCUUUUCCCCUGGCCUCCCCAGUGAAAUUGUUGUUAUUGAUGCGAUGUUCACGGAUUGGUGAACUUCGACAUAGGACCCAUGUUAUUGGUCAUGGAGAGAUGCAUUUUAGAUGAUGGCAUAACGAGUUAAUUAGGAUCUAUUUAGUGUUGGCCCCCCCCCCCCCAAUGUUUUUCGGGUCAAGUUCACGGCUUCGUGAAUAGCAGCAUUGCUGCCCUCGUCAGAUCUAGUUCAGAUGUGCUGAUUUGAGAUCAUUAUUAAAACAUUUUUAAAGGUUCUGAGAAACGGUGUCAGGUCCAAAACCAGACCAGAUUUUAGUCCUGACGACGGUACUUUUUUCUGGAUGGGUUUGUCUGUAAUGAGACUAGACUGCACUGGACCGGAUCAGGGAGACUGGGUUUGUUCUUAGUCUUCGCCUCAGGCAAGAACUGUUCCCUUUCUCGAAGCCGUUCAAAUGGUUUGAGUUUAUUUGCAAGCAUAGAGAACGGCCUCGUUUCUCAUUAUGCCAGUCUGUCGCCGGUAUCAAACUUGAAGAGCGGCUUUGGUUUAAUUUGUCUCCAGACCAGAGCUGCAUCAACACACUGCACAAAGAAACCAACCCCAGACCCACUACAGACAUGAUCAUCAGACUGGGCAGACUGACCCCUGGAUACUUCCGCCUCCUACAGGUUUGUAAACUAUUGGCGACCUUUUCGUUUUGGGUGUGCCUAAUACUGUAUGAAUUCAUGGAAAUAUAUUGACGAUUCUGUCUACUUAUUGAUAUGACUUGUUACGGUGAGUCCGCACUGAAUCCUGUAAAGAUGCAGUCCAUAUGGAAGCGUCAACACUUGAUUGUAAAAAAACUACAACAAAAAACAUUCAAUUUCCGAAAAACUGGAUUACCAGUAUUGUGUUGUAGAGUUGCAGAUACAUUAGUAAUCAAUCAUCUGGCACCAUGUCCGCUCCCACCCAGUCUUUUAAAUUCCUAUUCUCCCUUUUAACAGUUUUGUAUUUGCUGGUCUUUAGGCUUGAAUAACAAUAAUGGCCAUGACCGAUUUUUCAAUAGAGUACUUGUUGACUUGGGAAAUGCCAGCUCAGAUGAUUCACUUGACUUGGAAUGUAAGAGCAGUGAGACAAGGUUUAACCCCCCUGGCUCAGAUGUGGAUGUAAGCGAAAUGAAAAAUUGACCACUUCAGAGUAUUUGAGUGUUACUCCAAGGCCAUGGGUUCCCUGCUCACACCCAGUAGCUGAAAGCAAAUUUUAAAACUGCCUCUCUAAUCCUCUUAAAAUGUAAGUAGUGUUUUUGCCUGAGUUCUACUGUAGACUCUAAACGAGGCAAGUGACGGCAUUACCAACACUAACUUGUCAAUCCAUGUUGAAUUCAGCCAGGCGGGAAUCUGGGCCUGGUGUAUAAUGGUAGCCGGUAGCCCCCCAUCUGACACCCACAAUCUGCUUUCAUCAACAAAGCCACUGAUAUGAUUAGUAUCGAUGCUAAUGUUGGCGAUAGUAUUUCCUCCCCCUUUUUGUUCCUCCUCCACCGCAAUAGUCCUUUACAGUCAUGAAUGUGACGCAUGUCGUCAUUUGUGUAAAGUGUUUUCUGUUAUUUUUACUAAUUCGGAAAACAAAGACCCCAGUACAGACUUUAGAUGAAAGUGACUCGCUGUUAUGUGAAAUUCCACAUGUUGCUGUGACAAUUGAUUUCCUUUGUAGUUGGAGGAUUUGAAUAUGUGUGAUGGAAGUGAGGACUUCUCUGCAUUCUUGAUUGGAUUUAUGGUUGGAUUUAUGAUGGUUAAAAUGCUUUCAGAUACAAUAAGUUAUCCAUGUGGUUAUUAAAUCAAUACUCUCCAUUAGUGAGAUAGCUUUCAGGUGGGCAUAGGCAAUCAGAUGUCUCUAACAUCCUCAUUGAAAGGGAAAGUGGGGAAACCGAGUCAGUUCAACUGAAAUGUGUCUUCCGCAUUUAACCCAACCCCUCUGAGCCCCAGACCUCUCCAAUCCCACUUCCAUAUAUAUACACUAUAGAUACAAAAGUAUAUGGACACCCCCUCAAAUGAGUGGAUUUGGCUAUUUCAGCCACACCCAUUGCUGACAGGUAUAUAAAAUCGAGCACACAGCCAUAGACAAACGUUAGAAUGGCCUUACUGAAGAGCUCUGACUUUCAAUGUGGCACCGUCAUAGGAUGCCACCUUUCCAACAAGUCAGUUUGUCAAAUUUCUGCCCUACUAGAACUGCCGCGGUCAACUGUAAGUGCUGUUAUUGUGAAGUGGAAACUUCUAGGAGCAACAGCGGCUUAGCCGCGAAGUGGUAGGCCUCACAACCUCAAAGAACGGGGCCGCCAAGUGCUGAAGUUCAUAGUGUGUAAAAGUCGCCUGUCAGCGGUUGCAAUACUCACUACCAAGUUCCAAACUGCCCCUGGAAGCAACGUCAGCACAAUGGCUGUUGGUCGGGAGCUGCUCACCAUGCGCAAUGCCAAGUUUCGGCUGGAGUGGUGUAAAGCUCGCCACCAUUGGACUUUGGAGCAGUGGAAACAUGUUCUCUGGAGUGAUGAAUCAAGCUUCACCAUCUGGCAGAUGCCAGGAGAACGCUACCUGCCCGAACGCAUAGUGCCAACUGUAAAGUUUGGUGGAGGAGGAAUAAUGGUCUGGGGCUGUUUUUUCAUGGUUCGGGCUAGGCCCCUUAGUUCCAGUGAACGGAAAUCUUAAUGCUACAGCAUACAAUGACAUCCUAGACGAUUCUUUGUGGCAACAGUUUGGGGAAGGCCCUUUUCCUGUUCUAGCUUGAUAAUGCCGCCGUGCACAAAACGAGGUCCAUACAGACAUGGUUUGUCGAGAUCGGUGUAGAUUACUUGACUGGCCUGACCUCAACCCCAUCAAACACCUUUGGGAUGAAUUGGAAUGCCGACUUCGAGCCAGGCCUAAUCGCCUAACAUCAGUGCACGACCUCUUGUGAUCUUUUUGCUUAAUGGAAGCAUGUCGCCGCAGCAAUGAUCCAACAUCUAGUGGAAAGCCUUCCCAGAAGCGUGGAUGUUUUUAUCGCAGCGAAGGGGGGACCAACUGUAUAUUAAUGCCCAGGAUUUUGGAGUGAGAUGUUUGACUAGCAGAUGUCCACAUACUUCUGUCCAUGUAGUGUAGUUGCUAUCUUGCGGGUGUAUCCAGAGGCCUUUUUCACUGAAGAUAUGGCAGUGCUCUCUAAACGCCUGAGCUUAAAAUGGAGUCCUAUCUUAUUUGCUUUGAGGCCCUCCAGGGAUAAUGGAGUGCAAAGAGGGAGACUGUAUUGUACGGAGUCCACACACCCUCCUGAUGUGAGGGAACUUUCUGCACCUGCCCUUUGGUAUAGCGUGCAAGGAGUUUGGUCUCGUGUACCAAGAACAUUGUGCCCCCUUUUUUGCUCAAAUCUUUCCUUGCCCUCUAAAUGUUUAAUAACUGUUCUAAACACAACCCUGGGCACAUGACAGGGCACUGUGGAUAUGUGGAACGCUGGUGGUGUUGGGGAAGUUGGGUUUUUGGUAUCAUUUAUGAAAGGAAGAAGCUUUUAUUACCUCUUUCUGUACAUUUUCAUGUUUCGUCACAUUCAAUUAUCUUUUUAUACAAUCUUUGACAAAAUUUUAGGCAUUGUUUUUUCCAGAUUUGGUUCAGAUAUUUUCUCUGACCCAUGCAUUGAUCACUCACCUUUUUUUUGCCUUUUGUGUGUUCUCUCUAGAGACAGGUGGCGGGUGAGGUGCAGACCCAGCCACAGGACCGCGUGGUCAACCAGAUAGCCAUGAUGCUGGCCAUCAUGGGCCUAAGCCUGUCCUACUACAGUGCCAAACGGAUGACUGAGAAGGUCCAGAGGCUCCAGAAGAGAAGAGAUCCCCAUACACCCUGAACCUGGAGAGAAGACGAACCAACGCAGAGAUGUUGUGGAGAGGAGACAUGGAGAUGUCGGUGUCCAGAACAACACCUUUUCACAACCAAUCAGUCAUAGUCACGUCGUUCACACACUGGAGUUUUACUGGGAUCACUCUCAAUGCGAGGAGAGUUCGGGGGCUGCUGCUUUUAAGGGUAUCUUGUUCAUUUUUCACACCAAUUUGGGGUGUGUGUGUGUGUGUGUGUGUGAAGAAAGGCCCACGGUGGGGUUCGUGUGGUCCUGAUAAGGUCUGGGGGGUAAAAGUACUACCAGCUGUCUAUGGUAAGGCUGGGCCUGAGCUUUAGUUGUUGCCAAGGUACAUGCGUGCAAGAUGCCAUCAAUACUGUUCUGCGCUAAAAAGGGAUAGAAAAAUGCCAAACUAAUUAUUCUAAUGUACUGUGAAACUUGCCAGUGCUCCAAGCAUAUGACUGUGUAAAAUAACUGAACAGUAAUUAUUUUUUAAGGGAAGGCUAUCUGCAUUUGAGAUGUAUCUGGUAAUGACUGAAGGCAGGCCCAUAGUGUGAGGAGAAAGCAACCCUCUUAGGUUUUUGUCAUUUCUUAUUGUUAAAUAAAAGUGAGCCAUGUGAAGUAGAUGUGGAGGAGGAGUCUCAAACUGGUCAAUAAUUCCACACAUGUUUAAUAUCUGUUAAUGUCAGACACAAAAAAAAAACAGUGAAAGUGAAAUGCAGUAUUUGAACGUUUUAGGAACUUGCUUAUCCAAAUCUAUGAAAAGGCACUUUAUCCAAAUAACAACUUUAUUUUUCCCACAAUGUUUCCAGUUGAAUCGAUUUGAGUCUUGAUAAAGAACGUUGGCUUUCUUUAAAGAACUCGAUCUGCAAUAGCUACUAGGUGUUACCACAGAAUAUUCUAACUUCAGUAAAUGUUGCAUGGGUGUGCAGCUUUUAAUCUCUACAUGAAAUUUAAGAUUUCAUUAAAACUGUCACUUUUUAGUUUUUUAAAGAAUCAUAACAUGAAUGUAUAUUUCUGUGAUGUUUAGAAAAAUCCAAUAAAGCUGUGACUUGAAUGAUAAAAACAGUGGCAGUUUAGUAAUGAUUUUUAAGGCGUUUGGGAAUUCUGGAAAAACUGACGUGAACAAGCUCCA